GGGGCUGUAGCUCAGUGGUAGAGCGCUUGCUUAGUAAGUAUGUAAGGCACUGAGUUUGAUCCUCAGUACCACG
rnacentral:tRNA from 1 species